UGGGGAAUAUUGGACAAUGGGCGAAAGCCUGAUCCAGCCAUGCCGCGUGUGUGAAGAUGGUCUUCGGAUUGUAAAGCACUUUAAGCUGGGAGGAAGGGCAGUAAGCGAAUACCUUGCUGUUUUUACGUUACCGACAGAAUAAGCACCGGCUAACUCUGUGCCAGCAGCCGCGGCAAUACAGAGGUUGCAAGCGUUAAUCGGAAUUACUGGGCGUAAAGCGCGCGUAGGUGGUUCGUUAAGUUGAAUGUGAAAGCCCCGGGCUCAACCUGGGAACUACAUCCAAAACUGGCGAGCUAGAGUAGGGCAGAGUGUGAUGGAAUUUCCUGUGUAGCGGUGAAAUGCGUAGAUAUAGGAAGGAACACCAGUGGCGAAGGCGACCUCCUGAGAUCAUACUGACACUGAGGUGCGAAAGCGUGGAGAGCAAACAGG
rnacentral:rRNA from 1 species